GACGAACGCUGGCGGCGUGCUUAACACAUGCAAGUCGAACGGACAGGCCCUGCUUUUGUGGGGUGCUCGAGUGGCGAACGGGUGAGUAACACGUGAGUAACCUGCCCUUGAAUUUGGGAUAACUUCAGGAAACUGGGGCUAAUACCGGGUAGGAGAUCCUGCUGCGUGGGGGGGGUUGGAAAGUUUCGGCGGUUGUGGAUGGACUCGCGGCGUAUUAGCUUGUUGGUAAGGUAGUGGCUUACCAAGGCUUCGAUGCGUAGCCGACCUGAGAGGGUGAUCGGCCACACUGGAACUGAGACACGGUCCAGACUCCUACGGGAGGCAGCAGUAGGGAAUCUUCCGCAAUGGGCGAAAGCGUGACGGAGCAACGCCGCGUGAGUGAUGAAGGUCUUCGGAUCGUAAAACUCUGUUAUUAGGGAAGAACAAAUGUGUAAGUAACUAUGCACGUCUUGACGGUACCUAAUCAGAAAGCCACGGCUAACUACGUG
rnacentral:rRNA from 1 species